AUGUCGCUUUACGAACCUGCCGAUGGAAUUCUUGAAACCCAUGUGACAUGGGAAGACGUCGAGAAGGACCUUCAACAAAGUCUUGGAACGCGAGCUACAUUUGGAGAAAAUAAGAGAGCGACAAAUAUCAGCGAUUUGAAAGGUUUCAUGUCAAGAAUCGCCUGCCUUGAACCUGAUUGGCAAAACAUUGAGGAAGGAAAGGAACUUCCAUCAAAAUUUGCGUUGAAGAUAAGCUCUCAGCUGGCUCUUGUUGCUUUAUCGAAAAUCAUGAAUUUUGAAGAAGGUGCCGGAUUUUCUGAAGAAAAAUUGAAGAAGUUUUCGAGUUUAACAAAAGAAUGUCAUAAUAGAGAGGUCGACGCAUAUAAGGUUUUGAUGAAAUUCAAUCAUCCCGAUAUUCCAUACACCAAGCUCUCGGGGAACGUCUUUCCAAAGAAGAUCAACAUUUUGUUAUGGGACCAACCUACCUGGAAAUGAUUUUUGAAGAUUUUUUCAAUGAUGUUGAACUGAAAAAGAAAUUCGAUACACUUCGGACUACAUUUGAAGAAACGGAAAAUCAAGAAAAAGUUGAAAAGCUAAUUACAGUUUUUGAACACUAUAAGUCAUUGGUGAAAAAGUAUACAAACAUUUCCGAUAUUUUGGGUGUUAAACUUGUACUCAAUCAUGGAGACUUGUCGCAACCAAACGUACUUUUUUCACUGGAUCCACAGAAUAAACUGAAAUUAGAAGCAAUUAUUGACUGGCAGUGUGUUUCUAGAAUGCCUCCUGGUCUGGAUACUGCUAGAUUAUUGUUAGGAUGUCUAUCCGGACAGGAGCGCCGUGAACGAGGAACUGAACUUUUGAAGGUGUAUCAUGAAACAUAUACCAGCGUAUUUGGUGAAGAAUUAUUCACGUUUCAAGAACUUCAAGAACUUUUCAAUCUGUUUGCUCCAAUGAUGGCUAUGAUGCUUCUACCUGUUAUGCCCUCUUCCAUCCAAAGUGCAAUUAUUCCAGAAGAAGAUAAAGUGAGUGCCUUGAAGGAGGUCAAAACAAAGAUGAUUGCAAUGAUGGAAGAUAUACUGGAAAUUCACGACAAUAAUUUGAAUCAUUUUUCUGAUUUCAUGAAGAUUUAA
rnacentral:misc_RNA from 1 species